GGCUUGAUAGUUCAGUGGCAGAAUUCAUGCUUUGGGUGUAUGAGGUCCUGGGUUUAUCCCCAGUCAAGCGU
rnacentral:tRNA from 1 species